rnacentral:lncRNA from 1 species
UACAUUAUAAGUGUGUCCACGUCAUCGCCGCAAACUUCUUAAUCUCAUCUACCCACUUAACUUUCUGCCGCCUCCUGCUGCACUUGCCUUCUCUUAGAAUCCGAUCUGUUAUCAUUAAUGCCUAUCGGCUAU